rnacentral:rRNA from 1 species
GUUAACCGAAUAGGGGAGCCGUAGGGAAACCGAGUCUUAACCGGGCGUUAAGUUGCAGGGUAUAGACCCGAAACCCGGUGAUCUAGCCAUGGGCAGGUUGAAGGUUGGGUAACACUAACUGGAGGACCGAACCGACUAAUGUUGAAAAAUUAGCGGAUGACCUGUGGCUGGGGGUGAAAGGCCAAUCAAACCGGGAGAUAGCUGGUUCUCCCCGAAAGCUAUUUAGGUAGCGCCUCGUGAAUUCAUCUCCGGGGGUAGAGCACUGUUUCGGCUAGGGGGCCAUCCCGGCUUACCAACCCGAUGCAAACUGCGAAUACCGGAGAAUGUUAUCACGGGAGACACACGGCGGGUGCUAACGUCCGUCGUGAAGAGGGAAACAACCCAGACCGCCAGCUAAGGUCCCAAAGUCAUGGUUAAGUGGGAAACGAUGUGGGAAGGCCCAGACAGCCAGGAUGUUGGCUUAGAAGCAGCCAUCAUUUAAAGAAAGCGUAAUAGCUCACUGGUCGAGUCGGCCUGCGCGGAAGAUGUAACGGGGCUAAACCAUGCACCGAAGCUGCGGCAGCGACACUGUGUGUUGUUGGGUAGGGGAGCGUUCUGUAAGCCUGUGAAGGUGUGUCGUGAGGCAUGCUGGAGGUAUCAGAAGUGCGA